CCUACGGGAGGCAGCAGUGAGGAAUAUUGGUCAAUGGGAGAGAUCCUGAACCAGCCAAGCCGCGUGAGGGAAGACGGCCCUAUGGGUUGUCAACCUCUUUUGUCGGAGAACAAAACCCGGGACGUGUCCCGGCCUGCGUGUAUCCGAAGAAAAAGCAUCGGCUAACUCCGUGCCAGCAGCCGCGGUAAUACGGAGGAUGCGAGCGGUAUCCGGAUUUAUUGGGUUUAAAGGGUGCGUAGGCGGUCCGUUAAGUCAGCGGUAAAAUUGCGGGGCUCAACCCCGUCGAGCCGUGGAAACUGGCAGACUUGAGUGGGCGAGAAGUACGCGGAAUGCGCGGUGUAGCGGUGAAAUGCAUAGAUAUCGCGCAGAACUCCGAUUGCGAAGGCAGCGUACCGGCGCCAGACUGACGCUGAGGCACGAAAGCGUGGGGAUCGAACAGGAUUAGAUACCCUUGUAGUC
rnacentral:rRNA from 1 species